rnacentral:rRNA from 1 species
CCUACGGGAGGCAGCAGUGGGGAAUUUUGGACAAUGGGCGAAAGCCUGAUCCAGCAAUGCCGCGUGCAGGAAGAAGGCCUUCGGGUUGUAAACUGCUUUUGUACGGAACGAAACGGUCUGUUUUAAUACAGUGGGCUAAUGACGGUACCGUAAGAAUAAGCACCGGCUAACUACGUGCCAGCAGCCGCGGUAAUACGUAGGGUGCGAGCGUUAAUCGGAAUUACUGGGCGUAAAGCGUGCGCAGGCGGUUAUAUAAGACAGUUGUGAAAUCCCCGGGCUCAACCUGGGAAUUGCAUCUGUGACUGUAUAGCUAGAGUACGGUAGAGGGGGAUGGAAUUCCGCGUGUAGCAGUGAAAUGCGUAGAUAUGCGGAGGAACACCGAUGGCGAAGGCAAUCCCCUGGACCUGUACUGACGCUCAUGCACGAAAGCGUGGGGAGCAAACAGGAUUAGAUACCCUGGUAGUCCACGCCCUAAACGAUGUCAACUGGUUGUUGGGUGCAUUAGUACUCAGUAACGAAGCUAACGCGUGAAGUUGACCGCCUGGGGAGUACGGCCGCAAGGUUGAAACUCAAAUGAAUUGACGGCUGAGAGNGCGAGACGACGACGAGGGAGGAGG